UGCCAGCCGCCGCGGUAAUACGGAGGGGGUUAGCGUUGUUCGGAAUUACUGGGCGUAAAGCGCACGUAGGCGGACUGGAAAGUUGGGGGUGAAACCCCGAGGCUCAACCUCGGAACUGCCUUUGAUACUGAGAGUCUUGAGUCCGAGAGAGGUGAGUGGAAUUCCUAGUGUAGAGGUGAAAUUCGUAGAUAUUCGGAGGAACACCAGUGGCGAAGGCGGCUCACUGGCUCGAUACUGACGCUGAGGUGCGAAAGCGUGGGGAGCAAACAGGAUUAGAUA
rnacentral:rRNA from 1 species